rnacentral:rRNA from 1 species
AUUGAACGCUGGCGGCAGGCUUAACACAUGCAAGUCGAGCGAGCGGCGGACGGGUGAGUAAUGUCUGGGAAACUGCCCGAUGGAGGGGGAUAACUACUGGAAACGGUAGCUAAUACCGCAUACCAUCAGAUGUGCCCAGAUGGGAUUAGCUAGUGGGUGGGGUAAUGGCUCACCAAGGCAACGAUCCGUAGCUGGUCUGAGAGGAUGACCAGCCACACUGGGACUGAGACACGGCCCAGACUCCUACGGGAGGCAGCAGUGGGGAAUAUUGGACAAUGGGCGAAAGCCUGAUGCAGCCAUGCCGCGUGUAUGAAGAAGGCCUUCGGGUUGUAAAGCACUUUCGGCGGGGAAGCGUUACUCGCAGAAGAAGCACCGGCUAACUCCGUGCCAGCAGCCGCGGUAAUUC